UCACCUGAAUUUGACUGUCCCCACAGAAACAACAGAAGAAACAAGUGGAACAUCAGCUGGAAGAAGUAAUGUGAUUUCUUUGUUUGCUCACAACAUGACUGCUGGGUUUGGGGGGCACUCAGAUGUAGAGGCACCAGUCUAGUCUCGCCCACUCCUAGCCUGGGGAAGAAGGCACAUCCCUCAGAUUCCACCACAUCUCCACAGGGUCCCUGAUAACCUGGUCCCAUGGGUGGCCCUGUGCUGGGGCAUUGGUGGCAUUCUGGCGGCAUAUCUCUUGCUGUGCCAUCUCUGCCUCCCCAUGGUAAGAGCUCUGUCUUCCUCUUCCUAUAGGAAAAGAAAGCAAACAAUGAAAUACACAAAGCACAAAUGGAGCAGUUAGAGACAAUCAACAUCCUCACGCUGGAAAAGGCAGACUUGAAGACCACCCUUUACCAUACUAAACGUGCCGCCAGACACUUCGAAGGUGGGAAUCUGGGCACCCCGUCAUCCUUCAAUCUGGCACUUUGACAGGUCUUUAGGGGGAGUCCUUUUGGGCCCCCAUCUCAGCCUCUGUCGUUGCAGAAGAGUCAAAAGGAUCUGGCUGGCCACCUGUAAUCCUCCUUACAGUGUAUUCAAGAAUUGGAGCAGG
rnacentral:lncRNA from 1 species